rnacentral:rRNA from 1 species
GUCUAUUUGAGGAUAUAUAUAGUCUAAUCUGCUCACUGACAUUUCUGUUUAAGAGCCGCGGUAUUUUGACCGUGCUAAGGUAGCAUAAUCAUUAGUUCUUUAAUUGGGAACUUGUAUGAAUGAUUGGACAAAAGAAAAGCUGUCUCUAUAAUAAUAAAAUAAAUUAACUUUUAAGUGAAAAGGCUUAAAUACUUCAAGGGGACGAUAAGACCCUAUAAAGCUUUACAUACAUUAUAAGUUUGAUUUAAGCAAAAUUUAAAAAUCUAAAUUAUAUAUUAUGUUUUGUUGGGGCGACAAAAAUAUAAGUAAUAAUAACUGUUUAAUAAAAAAACAAUAAUAAAUGGACAAUUAAAUGAUCCUUGUUUAAAGAUUAAAGACCAAGUUACUUUAGGGAUAACAGCGUUAUUUUUUUUGAGAGUUCAUAUCGAAAAAAAAGUUUGCGACCUCGAUGUUGAAUUAAAAUGUCUUUAUAGUGCAGCUGCUAUAAAAGAAGGUCUGUUCGACCUUUAAAUUUUU